GGGCGAAUGGCGCGUGCUUACACAUGCAAGUCACGGGGGCCCGCAAGGGCAACCGGCGAACGGGUGCGUAACACGUAUGCAACCUACCUCUUACAGGGGGAUAGCCCGGAGAAAUUCGGAUUAAUACCCCAUGGCAUCAAGUGAUCGCAUGGUUGUUUGAUUAAAGAUUCAUCGGUAAGAGAUGGGCAUGCGUCUGAUUAGCUAGUUGGCGGGGUAACGGCCCACCAAGGCUACGAUCAGUAGGGGUUCUGAGAGGAAGGUCCCCCACACUGGCACUGAGAUACGGGCCAGACUCCUACGGGAGGCAGCAGUAGGGAAUAUUGGGCAAUGGACGAGAGUCUGACCCAGCCAUGCCGCGUGCAGGAAGACGGCCUAUUGGGUUGUAAACUGCUUUUAUCUGGGAAGAAAAAGCCCAUGCGUGGGAAACUGCCGGUACCAGAUGAAUAAGCACCGGCUAACUCCGUGCCAGCAGCCGCGGUAAUACGGAGGGUGCAAGCGUUGUCCGGAUUUAUUGGGUUUAAAGGGUGCGUAGGCGGCUGAUUAAGUCAGCGGUGAAAGACAUCGGCUCAACCGAUGCAGUGCCGUUGAUACUGGUUAGCUUGAGUGCUGCAGGGGUACAUGGAAUUGAUGGUGUAGCGGUGAAAUGCAUAGAUACCAUCAGGAACACCGAUAGCGAAGGCAUUGUACUGGGCAGCAACUGACGCUGAUGCACGAAAGCAUGGGUAGCGAACAGGAUUAGAUACCCUGGUAGUCCAUGCCGUAAACGAUGAUUACUCGCUGUUAUGCCACUG
rnacentral:rRNA from 1 species